rnacentral:rRNA from 1 species
CGGGAAGAAGAAAAUGACGGUACCGACAGAAACAGCACCGGCUAACCCUGUGCCAGCAGCCGCGGUAAUACAGGGGGUGCAAGCGUUAUUCGGAAUUAUUGGGCGUAAAGAGCGUGUAGGCGGUCUUGUAAGUCUGGUGUGAAAUCCCUGGGCUCAAUCCAGGAAGUGCAUUGGAUACUACAAGACUAGAGUAUAGGAGAGGAUGGCGGAAUUCCUGGUGUAGAGGUGAAAUUCGUAGAUAUCAGGAGGAACAACAGAGGCGAAGGCGGCCAUCUGGACUAUUACUGACGCUAAGGCGCGAAAGUGUGGGGAGCAAACAGGAUUAGAUACCCUGGUAGUCCACACCGUAAACUAUGGGUACUAGAUGUCGGAAGUUCUUACCCUUCCGGUGUCGCAGCUAACGCAGUAAGUACCCCGCCUGGGAAGUACGGUCGCAAGAUUAAAACUCAAAGAAAUUGACGGGGGCCCGCACAAGCGGUGGAGUAUGUUGUUCAAUUCGAUGCAACGCGAAAAACCUUACCUGGGCUUGACAUCCGACGCUACCCUAUGAAAGUAGGGGUUCCCGCAAGGGACGUCGAGACAGGUGCUGCAUGGCUGUCGUCAGCUCGUGUCGUGAGAUGUUGGGUUAAGUCCCGCAACGAGCGCAACCCUUGUCAUUAGUUGCCAGCUUUAAGUUGGGCACUCUAAUGAGACCGCUUGCCGAUAAGGCAGAGGAAGGUGGGGAUGACGUCAAGUCAGCAUGGCCCUUACGCCCAGGGCCACAAACGUACUACAAUGGCCGGCACAAUGCGUUGCAAUACCGAGAGGUGGAGCUAAUCGCAGAAAACCGGUCUCAGUUCGGAUUGGGGUCUGCAACUCGACCCCAUGAAG